rfam:Lactobacillus acidipiscis strain DSM 15353 Scaffold31, whole genome shotgun sequence.
GUUUGUCUUCAGGGCAGGGUGUAAUUCCCGACCGGCGGUAAUAGUCCGCGACCCUUAUCUUUUUGAUGAGGCUGACUUGGUGUGAUCCCAAGACCGACAGUUAAAGUCUGGAUGGAAGAAGAUAGAG